CGCGUGCAGGAUGAAGGCUUAGGGUUGUAAACUGCUUUUGUACGGAACGAAACGGCUCCUUCUAAUACAAGGGGCUAAUGACGGUACCGUAAGAAUAAGCACCGGCUAACUACGUGCCAGCAGCCGCGGUAAUACGUAGGGUGCGAGCGUUAAUCGGAAUUACUGGGCGUAAAGCGUGCGCAGGCGGUUAUAUAAGACAGAUGUGAAAUCCCCGGGCUCAACCUGGGACCUGCAUUUGUGACUGUAUAGCUAGAGUACGGUAGAGGGGGAUGGAAUUCCGCGUGUAGCAGUGAAAUGCGUAGAUAUGCGGAGGAACACCGAUGGCGAAGGCAAUCCCCUGGACCUGUACUGACGCUCAUGCACGAAAGCGUGGGGAGCAAACAGGAUUAGAUACCCUGGUAGUCCCGCCCUAAACGAUGUCACUGGUUGUUGGGUCUU
rnacentral:rRNA from 1 species